rnacentral:misc_RNA from 1 species
GGGUGAAAUUCAAUCGUUGUCCAGAAUUGGCCAAAGUUCGACGUAUUGCCCCAGUUCGGUAAUCCAAAUUGAAACUUGAAACACAAGUGUUUUCGCAAUAGUUAAUUUUUUGCUGAAAGUUUUUAGUCCGUGAUCGAUGGCAGUAACCUGAAGCAAAGAGCCACUGAAAUUGACAUCCAGGAAAAGUCUCAGGAAUAACAAGUUCUGAUCAUCUUCAUAUCAUGAACUCUCCACCCAAUUCUAGUGCUAGUAAUUUACCAUUUGGUCUUCCACCUCAUGUCUCAACCUUUUUACCAAAGGCUGAAGCAAUCAAUGCAAUUACUGGACAUCCAUCCCAAGAAAAUGCAGAAGCGAGGGUACUUGGCAAUCAAAGUCAAGAAUGGCAUUAUCAGGAGCAUAAACAUUCAGGCAGAUACUUUGAGACGUCCAAUCAAGGGGUUGGAUACGAAAACACUUCCCAGUCUUGUCAAAACGAGUCCUCGGGCAACGUGUCUACCAUUGGAGAUGGCGGAACAGAACAACGCGAAGUUAAAGUUUACCUAUGCGACCCGCGUUUGAGCCGGAAAAAUGGCGGACAGGAUCUCCAUAAUCCUCACGUAACUAAUCAUCAUGAUUGGAUUACAUGUGGCCAGGGAUCUGAAAUGACUGCUGAUUCAUGGACCAAACAGGUGCAAGAGAAACCCUUUGUUCCACCUUUACCCGAUUCACCUUUACUAAAUCCUUCACCACCACCACCCCCUCUCCCUUCGCUUCCUCCUAUCCCUACCUCACCACCUCCUAUCCUUUCGCCAUCACAAGAACCAAUGCCAGCUCUUCCCAUUUCGGGGCCAUCCAGGGGUCAUCCCACUGCUGGCCAUCUUGGAACGAAAUGGAAACCUAAAGUCGCGUCUUAUCAAAUCUUCCAGCCAGAGACUGAUACUGCCUCGUCUAAAUGGAACACUUUGUCGACCGGUCGAAUUUCAAGAAAUCACUCCACGCCAAUGGUACCGUGUUUAUUAUCCAUACCGUUUCCGGUCUAUUGCAUCAAUUGCAAUGAAUAUGGCCAUGAGACGAGACAAUGUUUCAUUAUUAAUUCCGUCAAGCAACAAAAUAAAAGAAAGUCAGAAGAAGAAAGUCAGGGGUGCUGUAAACGCACUAGAAAGGGAAACCAUGCUAUCGGUUGCUCUAGUUUAACGACUUUAACUCGGGAAAUUGGAAGUUCUACGGAGAAACCUGGCAUUUCCCGAUGGGCUACAGGUGCCAAUGCAGUUGCCCAAUUAGUUGGUCGAAAGACACCCGUUGUCAGAAUAUCCGUCGAUAAUAAUGCAGUUGCUGCUAGCUCUUCGAAAAUGGAAGAAUCUCUACAAGAGAGUUUUGUCACUCAAAAAAAUAUUGCAAACGCCACCAUCUCCACGGCAUCGAGCCAAUCCUUAAUAUACGAAGACGAAAUUAACCAACUAAUAGCAAGCGGAAUACAUACUUUGAAGGAAAUGAUUGAUGCCUUACCCAGCGAAAAGAGCAAUUCAUCGUUUUUGAACACUAUACUCACGCCCAAUGUUGCCGAAACCGAUGUAACGAAUAUCAACUCCAACAUCAGCGCAGAACGAUCUGCCGGGUCCAAAGAUGGUCAGAAAGGAAACGAAAAAGAGAAAACAAGCAAAAACGGAGACAACGCGGACAGUCAAGUUUGCAAUAUAUGCCAGAAAACGAAAGGAGGCCAUGUGCAGGGUUGUUUUAAUUCAAAAAAAGUUCGUUCCUUACGCAAUCGAGAGAAACUACGCUGCGAAGAAUUGGCAAAAAAGAUACAAAUGAGGUCGGAAUGGUUUUCCGAGAUCUUGAAAAUGAUGAGAAGUGAAGUUUCUUUUCCGGCGAUGCCAGUAGAACCACCUUCACAAGAAAGGCCAAAGAAACGACCGGAAGAAGAUGAAUUGUUGGCCCGUGUCGAAUUUAUCAAAAGGGUACCCAGAGAGGAACUGGAAGAAAUGGUUUUGAGGUAUAUCUAUUUUUUUGAGGCAAAUAAGCGCAAUGAAGCAGAAGAAUUGAUCAUCGCUAAACGAAAGGUAUUGAACAUGCAAAAUCAGAUCAACAUGCUUCAAUAUAGGCUGAAGCGAGAAUAUAAAAAAAGAGCAAAUCAGACAUCUAAGCCAACAUGUACCAUUGGCACACAAGUACAAUCGAAUGAUUUCGAUACAUCUGGCCAGCCGAACAUUCCGUUGCCGGUUAAAUCUCUUUCGCCUGUGCAUAUCAAAGUGGAGAAGGCUGAAGCAAACAUUUUACCACCAUCAUCGGAGUUAUCCACUUCAAAGGAGGAUAUCUCAAAUCGUACAUGUCUACCAUCCAGUGUUGGCAAUUCAGAUAUGGCGCAAUUACCAUGCGAUCCAAUAGUCAGCAGCAUCAAUACACCAAACAAAAUAGUUGUGAAAGCUGAAAAGCAAUGUAUGCCAACACUGCGGGAUAACUCAUUACAUCCCGAAAAGAAUGGUGAACACCAAGAAACCACUGUCACGCCUCGUAUUCAGCUACCUCUACAAAAAUCCACGUUUACUGAUGCAGACAUUCCCUAUGGUAAACCUGCUCUUAAUGUAAAAAAUACCGCUGCAUCUUCUCUUGGACAUCCUCCGAAACAACUUCCUUCUCCUGCUGAUCCGAUCAACCCUUCCGCCAAAAAAAACCAAUCGUCCAAGGAGCGACCCACCAACAGUACGAUAAGUCGAGUUAUGCGACACGUGGAACAGCAACGGGCAUCCUCAUCAAGCACUUUACAAGCUGAACUUUCAACCUUGUCUGCUAGUAUGACUCCUCAAAGACAACAACCUUCAACCGCUUCUAGUUCGUCUCUUCUAAAUCAGCAAUCAUACGUAUGUAACUAUGAAAUCCAACAGAAAAGUCAACGAACCGAGAGCGUCCAAUCGGAUUUCCGUCUUAUAAAGUCGGAAUACGUUAAAAUUGAAGCAAACAAACGGAGCGAAGCAACUGGUACACCACGUCAGAGAAGCGAUAUGCACGCUUUAGGUUCACGCGAGCUUCCUAUUCAAAUUGAGUGAUAACCAAAUGUGUUGAGCCUUCUUUCUACCAAUUUGUUCACCGUUAUAACCUAGAAAAAAGUUCCGUGCUGAUCUUUUGCUGCCUACCAGAAGCAGUGGAAGAAUACACGCUCUAAAAUUCUA